AUUGAACGCUGGCGGCAUGCUUUACACAUGCAAGUCGAACGGUAACAGGCCGCAAGGUGCUGACGAGUGGCGAACGGGUGAGUAAUGCAUCGGAACGUGCCCAGUAGUGGGGGAUAGCCCGGCGAAAGCCGGAUUAAUACCGCAUACGACCUACGGGUGAAAGCGGGGGACCGUAAGGCCUCGCGCUAUUGGAGCGGCCGAUGUCAGAUUAGGUAGUUGGUGGGGUAAAGGCCUACCAAGCCUACGAUCUGUAGCUGGUCUGAGAGGACGACCAGCCACACGGGGACUGAGACACGGCCCAGACGCCUACGGGAGGAAGCAGUGGGGAAUUUUGGACAAUGGGGGCAACCCUGAUCCAGCCAUGCCGCGUGCGGGAAGAAGGCCUUCGGGUUGUAAACCGCUUUUGUCAGGGAAGAAAUCUUCUGGGCUAAUACCUCGGGAGGAUGACGGUACCUGAAGAAUAAGCACCGGCUAACUACGUGCCAGCCGCCGCAGUAAGAC
rnacentral:rRNA from 1 species